UUGGAGGGCAAGUCUGGUGCCAGCAGCCGCGGUAAUUCCAGCUCCAAUAGCGUAUAUUAAAGUUGUUGCAGUUAAAAAGCUCGUAGUUGAAUUUCGGGAUCAAGGGAUCGGUCAUGCCUUGGUAUGUACUGGUUUCAUUGGUUCUCACCUUCUAAAGAACCAUGAUGUCAUUCAUUUGAUGUUAUGGGGAAUUAGGACUGUUACCUUGAAAAAAUUAGAGUGUUUAAAGCAGGCUUUACGCUUGAAUACAUUAGCAUGGAAUAAUGAAGUAGGACAUCCGAUUCUAUUUUGUUGGUUUCUAGGAUCGAUGUAAUGAUUAAUAGGGAUAGUUGGGGGCAUUAGUAUUCAAUUGUCAGAGGUGAAAUUCUUGGAUUUAUUGAAGACUAACUACUGCGAAAGCAUUUGCCAAGGAUGUUUUCAUUAAUCAAGAACGAAAGUUAGGGGAUCGAAGACGAUCAGAUACUGUCGUAGUCUUAACCAUAAACUAUGCCGACUAGGGAUCGGAUGAUGUUAAUUUUAUAAUGACUCAUUCGGCACCUUACGGGAAAC
rnacentral:rRNA from 1 species